AUUGAACGCUGGCGGCAUGCCUUACACAUGCAAGUCGAGCGGAUGAGUGGAGCUUGCUCCAUGAUUCAGCGGCGGACGGGUGAGUAAUGCCUAGGAAUCUGCCUGGUAGUGGGGGACAACGUUUCGAAAGGAACGCUAAUACCGCAUACGUCCUACGGGAGAAAGCAGGGGACCUUCGGGCCUUGCGCUAUCAGAUGAGCCUAGGUCGGAUUAGCUAGUAGGUGAGGUAAUGGCUCACCUAGGCGACGAUCCGUAACUGGUCUGAGAGGAUGAUCAGUCACACUGGAACUGAGACACGGUCCAGACUCCUACGGGAGGCAGCAGUGGGGAAUAUUGGACAAUGGGCGAAAGCCUGAUCCAGCAAUGCCGCGUGAGUGAUGAAGGCCUCGG
rnacentral:rRNA from 1 species